rnacentral:rRNA from 1 species
GAUGAACGCUGGCGGCGUGCCUAAUACAUGCAAGUCGAGCGAACAGACGAGGAGCUUGCUCCUCUGACGUUAGCGGCGGACGGGUGAGUAACACGUGGAUAACCUACCUAUAAGACUGGGAUAACUUCGGGAAACCGGAGCUAAUACCGGAUAAUAUAUUGAACCGCAUGGUUCAAUAGUGAAAGACGGUUUUGCUGUCACUUAUAGAUGGAUCCGCGCCGCAUUAGCUAGUUGGUAAGGUAACGGCUUACCAAGGCAACGAUGCGUAGCCGACCUGAGAGGGUGAUCGGCCACACUGGAACUGAGACACGGUCCAGACUCCUACGGGAGGCAGCAGUAGGGAAUCUUCCGCAAUGGGCGAAAGCCUGACGGAGCAACGCCGCGUGAGUGAUGAAGGUCUUCGGAUCGUAAAACUCUGUUAUUAGGGAAGAACAAAUGUGUAAGUAACUGCACGUCUUGACGGUACCUAAUCAGAAAGCCACGGCUAACUACGUG